UUAGUGGCGGACGGGUGAGUAACGCGUGGGUAACCUGCCUCACGACAGGGGGAUAACAGUUGGAAACGACUGUUAAUACCGCAUAAGCGCACAGUACCGCAUGGUACGGUGUGAAAAACUCUGGUGGUGUGAGAUGGACCCGCGUCUGAUUAGCUAGUUGGUGAGGUAACGGCCCACCAAGGCGACGAUCAGUAGCCGGCCUGAGAGGGUGUACGGCCACAUUGGGACUGAGACACGGCCCAAACUCCUACGGGAGGCAGCAGUGGGGAAUAUUGCACAAUGGGGGAAACCCUGAUGCAGCGAACCGCCGCGUGAGUGAUGAAGUAUUUCGGUAUGUAAAGCUCUAUCAGCAGGAAGAUAAUGACGGUACCUGACUAAGAAGCACCGGCUAAAUACGUGCCAGCCGCUGC
rnacentral:rRNA from 1 species